AGUGGACGCUGGCGGUAGGCCUAACACAUGCAAGCCGAACGGCAGCACAGUAAGAGCUUGCUCUUACGGGUGGCGAGUGGCGGACGGGUGAGGAAUACAUCGGAAUCUACUUUUUCGUGGGGGAUAACGUAGGGAAACUUACGCUAAUACCGCAUACGACCUACGGGUGAAAGCAGGGGAUCUUCGGACCUUGCGCGAUUGAAUGAGCCGAUGUCGGAUUAGCUAGUUGGCGGGGUAAAGGCCCACCAAGGCGACGAUCCGUAGCUGGUCUGAGAGGAUGAUCAGCCACACUGGAACUGAGACGCGGUCCAGACUCCUACGGGAGGCAGCAGUGGGGAAUAUUGGACAAUGGGCGCAAGCCUGAUCCAGCCAUACCGCGUGGGUGAAGAAGGCCUUCGGGUUGUAAAGCCCUUUUGUUGGGAAAGAAAAGCAGCAGGUUAAUACCCCGCUGUUCUGACGGUACCCAAAGAAUAAGCACCGGCUAACUUCGUG
rnacentral:rRNA from 1 species